rnacentral:lncRNA from 1 species
AGCAAGGAGGGCGCCUGGCGCUAAACUCUUCAGGUGAUAAAGAUGGCUCCGAGGUGACUAAAGGCGCUAGGCCAGCCGCGGUUUGGAUGCCGUGGCCUGCCUGGGGCUCAGCUACGAGUUCACGAAAUAAAAAAAUGGGAAGAAAGUGGGGAGCCCGCGGCGCGGAGCCAUGAUGAGGCCGAGGUGGAACCGGAGCACGGCGGGCGGGGAGCCUCAGACUGUGCGGAGAGUCUCACGGACUCCUAGCCGCGUCCCCUAGUGAUUUAAAAAUAAAUAAAGUAGCCCUCGCCCUCCGAUCGGAGCCAUGCCUGCCUCCGCGCCGGGACGGCGUCUUCCACAGCUGACCCGCCUAAGAUCUGCGGGUUGGCCGCACUGCACCCCAACACUUCGCGGGCGCGGGUGGGAGGCCAGGGUCCCUCA